rnacentral:rRNA from 1 species
AUACGUAAGGGGCGAGCGUUGUCCGGAAUGAUUGGGCGUAAAGGGCGCGUAGGCGGCCCGGUAAGUCUGGAGUGAAAGUCCUGUUUUUAAGAUGGGAAUUGCUUUGGAUACUGUCGGGCUUGAGUGCAGGAGAGGUAAGUGGAAUUCCCAGUGUAGCGGUGAAAUGCGUAGAGAUUGGGAGGAACACCAGUGGCGAAGGCGGGUAACUGGACUGCAACUGACGCUGAGGCGCGAAAGUGUGGGGAGCAAACAGGAUUAGAUACCCUGGUAGUCCACACUGUAAACGAUGAAUGCUAGGUGUAAGAGGUAUCGACCCCUUUUGUGCCGGAGUCAACACAAUAAGCAUUCCGCCUGGGGAGUACGGCCGCAAGGUUGAAACUCAAAUGAAUUGACGGGG